AUUGAACGCUGGCGGCAGGCUUAACACAUGCAAGUCGAGCGGGGAUUGGGUGCUUGCACCUAAUCUUAGCGGCGGACGGGUGAGUAAUGCUUAGGAAUCUGCCAUUUAGUGGGGGACAACAUUCCGAAAGGGAUGCUAAUACCGCAUACGCCCUACGGGGGAAAGCAGGGGAUCUUCGGACCUUGCGCUAAAUGAUGAGCCUAAGUCGGAUUAGCUAGUUGGUGGGGUAAAGGCCUACCAAGGCGACGAUCUGUAGCGGGUCUGAGAGGAUGAUCCGCCACACUGGGACUGAGACACGGCCCAGACUCCUACGGGAGGCAGCAGUGGGGAAUAUUGGACAAUGGGCGCAAGCCUGAUCCAGCCAUGCCGCGUGUGUGAAGAAGGCCUUUUGGUUGUAAAGCACUUUAAGCGAGGAGGAGGCUACUUGGAUUAAUACUCUGGGAUAGUGGACGUUACUCGCAGAAUAAGCACCGGCUAACUCUGUGCCAGCAGCCGCGGUAAUACAGAGGGUGCGAGCGUUAAUCGGAUUUACUGGGCGUAAAGCGUGCGUAGGCGGCUGAUUAAGUCGGAUGUGAAAUCCCUGAGCUUAACUUAGGAAUUGCAUUCGAUACUGGUCAGCUAGAGUAUGGGAGAGGAUGGUAGAAUUCCAGGUGUAGCGGUGAAAUGCGUAGAGAUCUGGAGGAAUACCGAUGGCGAAGGCAGCCAUC
rnacentral:rRNA from 1 species